rnacentral:rRNA from 1 species
GCAUAAUCAUUAGUCUUUUAAUUGAAGGCUGGUAUGAAUGGUUGGAUGAGGUACAAGCUGUGUCAUAAAAAUUAACUUUUGAAUUUACCUUCAUAGUCAAAAGGCUAAAAUAAAAUUAAAAGACGAGAAGACCCUAUAGAGCUUUAUAUAAUUUAUAUUUAAAUUAUUCAGAUUUUUUAAAUUUAAUUAUUUUAUUAUAUUUUGUUGGGGUGACAAUAAAAUUUAUAAAACUUUUAUUUUUAUUAACCAUUUAUUUAUGAGUAUAUGAUCCAGUUUUAUUGAUUAUAAAUUUAAGUUACCUUAGGGAUAACAGCGUAAUUUUUUUUGAGAGUUCUUAUCGA